UGAUCCUUCCGUAGGGUGAACCUGCGGAAUGGACCAUUAAGAGUAAGGGUGCUCAGCGCCCGACCUCCAACCCUUUGUUGUUAAAACUACCUUGUUGCUUUGGCGGGACCGCUCGGUUCCGAGCCGCUGGGGAUUCGUCCCAGGCGAGCGCCCGCCAGAGUUAAACCAAACUCUUGUUAUUUAAACCGGUCGUCUGAGUUAAAAUUUUGAAUAAAUCAAAACUUUCAACAACGGAUCUCUUGGUUCUCGCAUCGAUGAAGAACGCAGCGAAAUGCGAUAAGUAAUGUGAAUUGCAGAAUUCAGUGAAUCAUCGAAUCUUUGAACGCACAUUGCGCCCCUUGGUAUUCCGAGGGGCAUGCCUGUUCGAGCGUCAUUACACCACUCAAGCUAUGCUUGGUAUUGGGUGCCGUCCUUAGUUGGGCGCGCCUUAAAGACCUCGGCGAGGCCUCACCGGCUUUAGGCGUAGUAGAAUUUAUUCGAACGUCUGUCAAAGGAGAGGACUUCUGCCGACUGAAACCUUUUAUUUUUUCUAGGUUGACCUCGGAUCAGGUAGGGAUACCCGCUGAACUUAAGCAUAUCAAUAAGG
rnacentral:rRNA from 1 species